GGCCUUGAGCGCUGUCUUCGCUUUCAGCAAAGGCUCCAGUUUCACCUUCAGCUUCACCUUCCGCCUCACCUUCAGCGUAUGCCUCAGACUCACUUUCAGCUUCGGCCUCACUCUCAGCUUCGCUUUCGGCUUCGCCCUCAGGAAGAUGCACCACCCGUCAAUGGCAGUCAGAGGCACUUUUGGUACUUUCGGGACCAGAAACAAACCGAACAAAAAUCAAUUCCUUGAUGUUUGUUGCAUCUCUGCGUCGAAACUUGGAUGGAUGCGUGUCAAGCCAGCCAGAAUCAGCGGAGCAAAGCCAAACAUCGGCAAGGCAUCGCAUUCACAAAUACAGCCAGAAACAUUGGAAUUGAUUCACUGACAUGUACAGUAGUUUUGGAUAGAAAUAAUGAUACCCUCUUACCUUUUCG